rnacentral:rRNA from 1 species
UGCGAGUCAUAUGUUCUUCGUGAACAUGGCGUACUGCUCAGUAACACGUGGAUAACCUGCCCUUGGGACCGGGAUAACCCCGGGAAACUGGGGAUAAUACCGGAUAACGCAUAUCUGCUGGAAUGCUUUAUGCGUAAAAUGGAUUUGUCUGCCCAAGGACGGGUCUGCGGCCUAUCAGGUAGUAGUGGGUGUAAUGUACCUACUAGCCUACGACGGGUACGGGUUGUGAGAGCAAGAGCCCGGAGAUGGAUUCUGAGACAUGAAUCCAGGCCCUACGGGGCGCAGCAGGCGCGAAAACUUUACAAUGCGGGAAACCGUGAUAAGGGGGCACCGAGUGCCAGCAUCAUAUGUUGGCUGUCCAGAUGUGUAAAAUACAUCUGUUAGCAAGGGCCGGGCAAGACCGGUGCCAGCCGCCGCGGUAACACCGGCGGCCCGAGUGGUGAUCGUGAUUAUUGGGUCUAAAGGGUCCGUAGCCGGUUUGGUCAGUCCUCCGGGAAAUCUGACGGCUCAACCGUUAGGCUUUCGGUGGAUACUGCCAGACUUGGAACCGGGAGAGGUAAGAGGUACUACAGGGGUAGGAGUGAAAUCUUGUAAUCCCUGUGAGACCACCUGUGGCGA